rnacentral:misc_RNA from 1 species
AAAGUCGUAACAAGGUUUCCGUAGGUGAACCUGCGGAAGGAUCAUUAACUAGUAUUGAAGUCCACGGGGAUCAGGCUUUCCGAAAGGAGGGCGGGGGGAUGUUUGGUUCCCCCUGCUUGGGCAGACUGGAGAGCAUGGUGUAGCUAUCGUAAUGGUAGUUAGAUUAUGUUUGGCCUCUGCUGAUCGAGCUUGUCACCUGAAUUCUACUACCCUUGCUUUUUGCGCACCCAUUGUUUCCUCGGCAGGCUUGCCUGCCAGUAGGACCCUUGAAAACCCUUUGUAAUUGCAAUCAGCGUCAGAAACAAUGUAAUCGUUACAACUUUCAACAACGGAUCUCUUGGUUCUG